rnacentral:rRNA from 1 species
UGGGGAAUAUUGGACAAUGGGGGAAACCCUGAUCCAGCCAUGCCGCGUGUGUGAAGAAGGCCUUUUGGUUGUAAAGCACUUUAAGCGAGGAGGAGGCUACUUAGAUUAAUACUCUAGGAUAGUGGACGUUACUCGCAGAAUAAGCACCGGCUAACUCUGUGCCAGCAGCCGCGGUAAUACAGAGGGUGCGAGCGUUAAUCGGAUUUACUGGGCGUAAAGCGUGCGUAGGUGGUCUUUUAAGUCGGAUGUGAAAUCCCUGAGCUUAACUUAGGAAUUGCAUUCGAUACUGGGAUACUAGAGUAUGGGAGAGGAUGGUAGAAUUCCAGGUGGAGCGGUGAAAUGCGUAGAGAUCUGGAGGAAUACCGAUGGCGAAGGCAGCCAUCUGGCCUAAUACUGACACUGAGGCACGAAAGCAUGGGGAGCAAACA